GAUUACGGCUCAGUAACACGUGGGCAACCUGCCUCAUAGAGGGGAAUAGCCUCCCGAAAGGGAGAUUAAUACCGCAUAAGAUUGUAGCUUCGCAUGAAGUAGCAAUUAAAGGAGCAAUCCACUAUGAGAUGGGCCCGCGGCGCAUUAGCUAGUUGGUGAGGUAACGGCUCACCAAGGCGACGAUGCGUAGCCGACCUGAGAGGGUGAUCGGCCACAUUGGGACUGAGACACGGCCCAGACUCCUACGGGAGGCAGCAGUGGGGAAUAUUGCACAAUGGGGGAAACCCUGAUGCAGCAACGCCGCGUGAGUGAUGACGGCCUUCGGGUUGUAAAGCUCUGUCUUCAGGGACGAUAAUGACGGUACCUGAGGAGGAAGCCACGGCUAACUACGUGCCAGCAGCCGCGGUAAUAAU
rnacentral:rRNA from 1 species